GGCUAGGGCUGCAUAAACAGAAACAAAGUGAUUUAACUCCUAAAUGGCAGUGAAUUGAGCAGUGAAAUUGCAGGGGGAUGAUCUAUACACUAAAACUGCUUUAUUUAGCUAAAGUAAUUUAGGUGACUAUAGUGUUCCUUUAAUAUUGUUAACAGUUUUAAAUAAAGAAUGUUAAAAAUGCUGUUGCCAAGUAUCUAAUUCCAUGUGUAUUAUAAUCAUAUUGAAUCCCAAGAUGGCUG